GCCGGUGUAGCUCAGUUGGUUAGAGCAGUGGAUUCCAAAUCCACAGGUCGCGGGUUCGAGUCCCUCCGCCGGUG
rnacentral:tRNA from 2 species